rnacentral:rRNA from 1 species
ACGGGUGAGUAACGCGUGGGAACAUACCUUUUGGUUCGGAACAACACAGGGAAACUUGUGCUAAUACCGGAUAAGCCCUUACGGGGAAAGAUUUAUCGCCGAAAGAUUGGCCCGCGUCUGAUUAGCUAGUUGGUGAGGUAAUGGCUCACCAAGGCGACGAUCAGUAGCUGGUCUGAGAGGAUGAUCAGCCACAUUGGGACUGAGACACGGCCCAAACUCCUACGGGAGGCAGCAGUGGGGAAUAUUGGACAAUGGGCGCAAGCCUGAUCCAGCCAUGCCGCGUGAGUGAUGAAGGCCCUAGGGUUGUAAAGCUCUUUUGUGCGGGAAGAUAAUGACGGUACCGCAAGAAUAAGCCCCGGCUAACUUCGUGCCAGCAGCCGCGGUAAUACGAAGGGGGCUAGCGUUGCUCGGAAUCACUGGGCGUAAAGGGUGCGUAGGCGGGUCUUUAAGUCAGGGGUGAAAUCCUGGAGCUCAACUCCAGAACUGCCUUUGAUACUGAAGAUCUUGAGUUCGGGAGAGGUGAGUGGAACUGCGAGUGUAGAGGUGAAAUUCGUAGA